ACUGCUGGGAUUUUGUCUCGUUGACAAGAUAGUUGAAGUUAAAAGCCUUGAUAAAGGUCUGAUUGAAGUGGAAACAGAUCCAGCUCUUAGUGCUAAAAUGUCCAUCCAGCUGAAAGUAAAUGGACCAAGAGGAGAGGAGAAGAUAGUCGAUAUUUGUGACAAUAUGGACCAGAUGAAGGUCGUCAAAGUGAUGGAGCUGAAAAGCAAAAUCGCCAAAGUGCUGAUGAUAUUUGGUGAAAUGCGGCUGGUGUUUAGAACAAAGCCGCUGGAGGACAAAGCCCUGCUGGUGUCUUAUGGGAUUAAACACAUGUCCAUCAUCCAUGCACUGCUGAUCCUGCCAGGUGGAGGAAAUCGAUGAGGACAAGACCCAGAAUAAGAAACCUGAACACACCGAGCAAACAAUUUAUUGUGAAGUCUUUAUUAUUUUGUAUGCCCAACAUUAUCACAUUAUUGUUAUGUAAUUAUUGUUGUCCCUUUUGAUGUUUAUUUUUUCUUAUAUUAAUAAAAGAAAUCACAUUUUUGCCCAACUGGAAAA